rnacentral:rRNA from 1 species
GAUGAACGCUGGCGGCGUGCCUAAUACAUGCAAGUCGAGCGAACGGACGAGAAGCUUGCUUCUCUGAUGUUAGCGGCGGACGGGUGAGUAACACGUGGAUAACCUACCUAUAAGACUGGGAUAACUUCGGGAAACCGGAGCUAAUACCGGAUAAUAUUUUGAACCGCAUGGUGCAAAAGUGAAAGACGGUCUUGCUGUCACUUAUAGAUGGAUCCGCGCUGCAUUAGCUAGUUGGUAAGGUAACGGCUUACCAAGGCAACGAUGCAUAGCCGACGUGAGAGGCGGAUAGGCCGCACUGGAGCUGAGACGCGGUCCAGGCUCCUACGGGAGGCAGCAGUCGGGUAUCGUCCGCAAUGGGCGAGAGCCUGACGGAGCGGCGCCGCGUGAGUUGUGAAGGUCUUCGGAUCGUAAAACUCUGUUAUUAGGGAAGAACAUAUGUGUAAGUAACUGUGCACAUCUUGACGGUACCUAAUCAGAAAGCCACGGCUAACUACGUG